rnacentral:snoRNA from 12 species
AAGACUAUACUUCACAGGAUCAUUUCUGUAGUCAGUCUUCACAUACUUUCACAUUAGAUGAAAGCUAAGCACACCCGCGUUGAUGAGGUGAAUCGUUCUAUUCGGCAGCGUGAGGAUUUGUCCAGCGGCCUUUGUGGUGUGGCGCUUCGGUGUCCGCAUCCUCCGGGUCGUCGGGCUUCGAUGAUCGCUCGGUAACACGAAUAGAGCGAAUUCUGAGUGGU